GAUGAACGCUGGCGGCGUGCUUAACACAUGCAAGUCGAACGAUGACCCGGUGCUUGCACCGGUGAUUAGUGGCGAACGGGUGAGUAACACGUGAGUAACCUGCCCUUAACUCUGGGAUAAGCCUGGGAAACUGGGUCUAAUACCGGAUAUGACUCCUCAUCGCAUGGUGGGGGGUGGAAAGCUUUUUUGUGGUUUUGGAUGGACUCGCGGCCUAUCAGCUUGUUGGUGAGGUAAUGGCUCACCAAGGCGACGACGGGUAGCCGGCCUGAGAGGGUGACCGGCCACACUGGGACUGAGACACGGCCCAGACUCCUACGGGAGGCAGCAGUGGGGAAUAUUGCACAAUGGGCGAAAGCCUGAUGCAGCGACGCCGCGUGAGGGAUGACGGCCUUCGGGUUGUAAACCUCUUUCAGUAGGGAAGAAGCGUAAGUGACGGUACCUGCAGAAGAAGCGCCGGCUAACUACGUGCCAGCAGCCGCGGUAAUACGUAGGGCGCAAGCGUUAUCCGGAAUUAUUGGGCGUAAAGAGCUCGUAGGCGGUUUGUCGCGUCUGCCGUGAAAGUCCGGGGCUCAACUCCGGAUCUGCGGUGGGUACGGGCAGACUAGAGUGAUGUAGGGGAGACUGGAAUUCCUGGUGUAGCGGUGAAAUGCGCAGAUAUCAGGAGGAACACCGAUGGCGAAGGCAGGUCUCUGGGCAUUAACUGACGCUGAGGAGCGAAAGCAUGGGGAGCGAACAGGAUUAGAUACCCUGGUAGUCCAUGCCGUAAACGUUGGGCACUAGGUGUGGGGGACAUUCCACGUUUUCCGCGCCGUAGCUAACGCAUUAAGUGCCCCGCCUGGGGAGUACGGCCGCAAGGCUAAAACUCAAAGGAAUUGACGGGGGCCCGCACAAGCGGCGGAGCAUGCGGAUUAAUUCGAUGCAACGCGAAGAACCUUACCAAGGCUUGACAUGAACCGGUAAUACCUGGAAACAGGUGCCCCGCUUGCGGUCGGUUUACAGGUGGUGCAUGGUUGUCGUCAGCUCGUGUCGUGAGAUGUUGGGUCAAGUCCCGCAACGAGCGCAACCCUCGUUCUAUGUUGCCAGCGCGUGAUGGCGGGGACUCAUAGGAGACUGCCGGGGUCAACUCGGAGGAAGGUGGGGACGACGUCAAAUCAUCAUGCCCCUUAUGUCUUGGGCUUCACGCAUGCUACAAUGGCCGGUACAAAGGGUUGCGAUACUGUGAGGUGGAGCUAAUCCCAAAAAGCCGGUCUCAGUUCGGAUUGGGGUCUGCAACUCGACCCCAUGAAGUCGGAGUCGCUAGUAAUCGCAGAUCAGCAACGCUGCGGUGAAUACGUUCCCGGGCCU
rnacentral:rRNA from 1 species